UAGGGAAUCUUCGGCAAUGGACGAAAGUCUGACCGAGCAACGCCGCGUGAGUGAAGAAGGUUUUCGGAUCGUAAAACUCUGUUGUUAGAGAAGAACAAGGACGUUAGUAACUGAACGUCCCCUGACGGUAUCCAACCAGAAAGCCACGGCUAACUACGUGCCAGCAGCCGCGGUAAUACGUAGGUGGCAAGCGUUGUCCGGAUUUAUUGGGCGUAAAGCGAGCGCAGGCGGUUUCUUAAGUCUGAUGUGAAAGCCCCCGGCUCAACCGGGGAGGGUCAUUGGAAACUGGGAGACUUGAGUGCAGAAGAGGAGAGUGGAAUUCCAUGUGUAGCGGUGAAAUGCGUAGAUAUAUGGAGGAACACCAGUGGCGAAGGCGGCUCUCUGGUCUGUAACUGACGCUGAGGCUCGAAAGCGUGGGGAGCAAACAGG
rnacentral:rRNA from 1 species